rnacentral:rRNA from 1 species
AAUCCAUAGGUUAAUGAGGCGAACCGGGGGAACUGAAACAUCUAAGUACCCCGAGGAAAAGAAAUCAACCGAGAUUCCCCCAGUAGCGGCGAGCGAACGGGGAGGAGCCCAGAGCCUGAAUCAGCAUGUGUGUUAGUGGAAGCGUCUGGAAAGGCGCGCGAUACAGGGUGACAGCCCCGUACACAAAAGCGCAUGUGCUGUGAGCUCGAUGAGUAGGGCGGGACACGUGGUAUCCUGUCUGAAUAUGGGGGGACCAUCCUCCAAGGCUAAAUACUCCUGACUGACCGAUAGUGAACCAGUACCGUGAGGGAAAGGCGAAAAGAACCCCGGCGAGGGGAGUGAAAAAGAACCUGAAACCGUGUACGUACAAGCAGUGGGAGCACAGGUUUACCUGUGUGACUGCGUACCUUUUGUAUAAUGGGUCAGCGACUUAUAUUCUGUAGCAAGGUUAACCGUAUAGGGGAGCCGUAGGGAAACCGAGUCUUAACCGGGCGUUAAGUUGCAGGGUAUAGACCCGAAACCCGGUGAUCUAGCCAUGGGCAGGUUGAAGGUUGGGUAACACUAACUGGAGGACCGAACCGACUAAUGUUGAAAAAUUAGCGGAUGACCUGUGGCUGGGGGUGAAAGGCCAAUCAAACCGGGAGAUAGCUGGUUCUCCCCGAAAGCUAUUUAGGUAGCGCCUCGUGAAUUCAUCUCCGGGGGUAGAGCACUGUUUCGGCUAGGGGGCCAUCCCGGCUUACCAACCCGAUGCAAACUGCGAAUACCGGAGAAUGUUAUCACGGGAGACACACGGCGGGUGCUAACGUCCGUCGUGAAGAGGGAAACAACCCAGACCGCCAGCUAAGGUCCCAAAGUCAUGGUUAAGUGGGAAACGAUGUGGGAAGGCCCAGACAGCCAGGAUGUUGGCUUAGAAGCAGCCAUCAUUUAAAGAAAGCGUAAUAGCUCACUGGUCGAGUCGGCCUGCGCGGAAGAUGUAACGGGGCUAAACCAUGCACCGAAGCUGCGGCAGCGAACGUAUCACCCAAGACAACUUUACGGAGUUGACGAUUGACGGAGCGAAGCGACGUCAAAGCGUUCAUUAAAGUCGAGUUGGCUUAGGGAUACGUUCGUUGGGUAGGGGAGCGUUCUGUAAGCCUGUGAAGGUGUGUCGUGAGGCAUGCUGGAGGUAUCAGAAGUGCGAAUGCUGACAUAAGUAACGAUAAAGCGGGUGAAAAGCCCGCUCGCCGGAAGACCAAGGGUUCCUGUCCAACGUUAAUCGGGGCAGGGUGAGUCGACCCCUAAGGCGAGGCCGAAAGGCGUAGUCGAUGGGAAACGGGUUAAUAUUCCCGUACUUGGUGUUACUGCGAAGGGGGGACGGAGAAGGCUAUGUUGGCCGGGCGACGGUUGUCCCGGUUUAAGCGUGUAGGUGUGUGUUCCAGGUAAAUCCGGUUCACUUUAACACUGAGGCGUGACGACGAGGCACUACGGUGCUGAAGCAACAAAUGCCCUGCUUCCAGGAAAAGCCUCUAAGCAUCAGGUAACAUCAAAUCGUACCCCAAACCGACACAGGUGGUCAGGUAGAGAAUACCAAGGCGCUUGAGAGAACUCGGGUGAAGGAACUAGGCAAAAUGGUGCCGUAACUUCGGGAGAAGGCACGCUGACACGUAGGUGAAGUGAUUUACUCAUGGAGCUGAAGUCAGUCGAAGAUACCAGCUGGCUGCAACUGUUUAUUAAAAACACAGCACUGUGCAAACACGAAAGUGGACGUAUACGGUGUGACGCCUGCCCGGUGCCGGAAGGUUAAUUGAUGGGGUCAGCGCAAGCGAAGCUCCUGAUCGAAGCCCCGGUAAACGGCGGCCGUAACUAUAACGGUCCUAAGGUAGCGAAAUUCCUUGUCGGGUAAGUUCCGACCUGCACGAAUGGCGUAAUGAUGGCCAGGCUGUCUCCACCCGAGACUCAGUGAAAUUGAACUCGCUGUGAAGAUGCAGUGUACCCGCGGCAAGACGGAAAGACCCCGUGAACCUUUACUAUAGCUUGACACUGAACAUUGAGCCUUGAUGUGUAGGAUAGGUGGGAGGCUUUGAAGUGUGGACGCCAGUCUGCAUGGAGCCGACCUUGAAAUACCACCCUUUAAUGUUUGAUGUUCUAACGUGGACCCGUAAUCCGGGUUGCGGACAGUGUCUGGUGGGUAGUUUGACUGGGGCGGUCUCCUCCUAAAGAGUAACGGAGGAGCACGAAGGUUGGCUAAUCCUGGUCGGACAUCAGGAGGUUAGUGCAAUGGCAUAAGCCAGCUUGACUGCGAGCGUGACGGCGCGAGCAGGUGCGAAAGCAGGUCAUAGUGAUCCGGUGGUUCUGAAUGGAAGGGCCAUCGCUCAACGGAUAAAAGGUACUCCGGGGAUAACAGGCUGAUACCGCCCAAGAGUUCAUAUCGACGGCGGUGUUUGGCACCUCGAUGUCGGCUCAUCACAUCCUGGGGCUGAAGUAGGUCCCAAGGGUAUGGCUGUUCGCCAUUUAAAGUGGUACGCGAGCUGGGUUUAGAACGUCGUGAGACAGUUCGGUCCCUAUCUGCCGUGGGCGCUGGAGAACUGAGGGGGGCUGCUCCUAGUACGAGAGGACCGGAGUGGACGCAUCACUGGUGUUCGGGUUGUCAUGCCAAUGGCACUGCCCGGUAGCUAAAUGCGGAAGAGAUAAGUGCUGAAAGCAUCUAAGCACGAAACUUGCCCCGAGAUGAGUUCUCCCUGAGACUUAG